rnacentral:lncRNA from 12 species
GGCAACGUCAGGGAGGGGCUCUACACAGAAUCCCCCAAUGCACAUGGCUGCUAGUGAAGACAACAGAAUGGUUCUGGGUAGGAGAUGGAGAAGGCCGGUGCUCACAGCCCUGGGACAGACAGCUUCAGAACCUGUUACCCUACACUGCAGCAACGCAGCUAUGCAAGGGAUGCACUUUGUGAGUCUUCGCCCCAGCCUUGCGAGUGUGUCCUGUAGGCCCUGGGCCACCUUCCCGGAGGGUGCCUCUCAAAUGGCAGAGCUACAGCUUCCCUGGGUGUCUGUUCUCUAAUCCCAAAGACAGCCCCCAUGUUGGUACCUCUGGGCGCAGAACAGCCUCCGUCCAAUGUGGAACCUCCACUUCACACCUGCUGAGGGGCCGCACUCGUCUUUAGCCUUCCUGUGGUGCAGUAGACCAGUUGGCAGUGGGCACAGAGCUGACUGUCAGGGGCAAAACUGGUGGAUAAACUCAGAGACAGAGGCCAGGUGACGAAGUGGACAUGCUCUUACAGCUAGGUUUCCCCAAGUCCCUCCCCUAGCACUCGCUGCCGAGCACCAGGGAUCAGAAUUAGAUUGCUCUGUCUUUGUUUUGUUUUGUUUUGUUUUGUUUUACUUUUUUUUUGUUUAAAUUCAAUUUGCCAACAUAUAGUAUAACACCCAGUGCUCAUCCCAUCAAGUGCGUCCUCCGUGCCCAUCACCCAGUCACCCCGUCCCCGCCCACCUCCCCCUCCGCAACCCUUUGUUUGUUUCCCAGAGUUAGGGGUCUCUUACAGUUUGUCUCCUUCUCUAACUUUUCUCUUGUUAUUUCAGGCCUGGCCUCCUUCCAGCUGAUGAUUCUCAUCUUCUCUCUCUGCGUCUAACCUCCUUUGCUUAACUCAGAGGCUUUUCCUCUGGACUCUAAAAUUUCCUCCAAGAAAUAUUUCAGCAACAGUCCUUGACUCAUUCUUGUGUUUUUAUUGUGUCAUAUUCGGCGUGUUUGUCACUGUCACCUUUCUUGACCUUGCCACCUUGGCCUGUGACUCCCUGCUCGCUGGGUGGUCCUUCACCUCCUAGCAUCUGUGGGACAUCCGAUUCUCUGCUGCUCUCUAGUCAUCCCAAAUGGAAUUGCAGCAGCUGGAUGCAGAACUAACUUCUGGUGGGUGGGGUGGGACACAUCCCCCACCCCCGCCCCUUUGAAAGACCUACCAGGAUCCAGGUAAAAGCCCACUAGGUUUGCUUAAAAGCAGCACCCUGGUCUGAGACAGCUGCACCGCUCGGCCUGGGGCUUU